AACGAACGCUGGCGGCACGCCUAACACAUGCAAGUCGAACGCUCGUAGCAAUACGGGAGUGGCGGACGGGUGAGUAACGCGUGGGAACCUGCCCAGGAGUGCGGGACAACUUCGGGAAACCGGAGCUAAUACCGCAUGAUGCCGAGAGGCUAAAGAUUUAUCGCCUUUGGAGGGGCCCGCGUCGGAUUAGGUAGUUGGUGGGGUAACGGCCUACCAAGCCUGCGAUCCGUAGCUGGUCUGAGAGGAUGGCCAGCCACACUGGGACUGAGACACGGCCCAGACUCCUACGGGAGGCAGCAGUGGGGAAUCUUGGACAAUGGGGGCAACCCUGAUCCAGCGAUGCCGCGUGGGUGAUGAAGGCCUUCGGGUUGUAAAGCCCUUUCGGCGGGGACGAUAGUGACGGUACCCGCAGAAGAAGCCUCGGCUAACUCCGUGCCAGCCGCCGCGUAAUAC
rnacentral:rRNA from 1 species